rnacentral:misc_RNA from 1 species
UAUAUCGUUUAGGAGUCGGUGGGUCAUCCAUAACCUACCUCACAUCAUAGACGUUAUGUAAUUGCAAUAAAAUAUGGUUCUAAUGCAUUACACUCUAAUAUCAAUGCAUUUCAUGAUGCAUGAUUAUGCUUAAUGCAUUAAUUACAAUAAAUAAAAAGCAUUUGAAAUUCAAUUAAGUAGUUUAUACUUACCUCUUGUGUACUUAUAAAUUAUUCUUACCCCUUUGAUCUGGCACGUAGACUUUAACUUUAUUGCGUUUUUCCUAGAUUCUCCGACACCAAACUAACUCAGGGCUCAACUUCUUUGUACUUCGAUCACUAACUCUGA